CCCGGAUAGCUCAGUCGGUAGAGCAUCAG
rnacentral:piRNA from 7 species